GAGAGUUUGAUCCUGGCUCAGGACGAACGCUGGCGGCGUGCCUAAUACAUGCAAGUCGAGCGGACAGAUGGGAGCUUGCUCCCUGAUGUUAGCGGCGGACGGGUGAGUAACACGUGGGUAACCUGCCUGUAAGACUGGGAUAACUCCGGGAAACCGGGGCUAAUACCGGAUGGUUGUCUGAAUCGCAUGGUUCAGACAUAAAAGGUGGCUUCGGCUACCACUUACAGAUGGACCCGCGGCGCAUUAGCUAGUUGGUGGGGUAACGGCUCACCAAGGCGACGAUGCGUAGCCGACCUGAGAGGGUGAUCGGCCACACUGGGACUGAGACACGGCCCAGACUCCUACGGGAGGCAGCAG
rnacentral:rRNA from 1 species